rnacentral:tRNA from 1 species
GGCUUCAUAGCUCAGUGGUAGAGCGUUUGCACCGGAAUCGCAAAGGUCAUGGGUUCGAAUCCGUUGGAGCCU